GAUACGUGUGUGCGGGCAGUGGGGGGAAGACGGGGGGUCCGAGCGUGAAUCGGAAGUGCUGGGCGUGAAGCGGGCGCAGGGGGUUUGUUAAGCGAGAUGUGAAAGCCCUGGGCUCAACCUAGGAAUAGCAUGUCGAACUGGCGAACUAGAGUCUUGUAGAGGGGUGUAGAAUUCCAGGUGUAGCGGUGAAAUGCGUAGAGAUCGGGAGGAAUACCGGUGGCGAAGGCGGCCCCCUGGACAAAGACUGACGCUCAUGCACGGAAGCGUGGGGAGCAAACAGGAUUAGAUACCCUGGUAGUC
rnacentral:rRNA from 1 species